rnacentral:rRNA from 1 species
CUACGGGAUGCAGCAGUGGGGAAUAUUGCACAAUGGGGGAAACCCUGAUGCAGCAAUGCCGCGUGAAGGAUGAAGUAUUUCGGUAUGUAAACUUCUUUCAGUAGGGAAGAAACAAAUGACGGUACCUACAGAAGAAGCCCCGGCUAACUAUGUGCCAGCAGCCGCGGUAAUACAUAGGGGGCAAGCGUUAUCCGGAAUUACUGGGUGUAAAGGGUGCGUAGGCGGCAACUCAAGUCAGGUGUGAAAACCCGGGGCUCAACUCCGGGAAUGCACUUGAAACUGGGUAGCUAGAGUACAGGAGAGGUAAGCGGAAUUCCUAGUGUAGCGGUGAAAUGCGUAGAUAUUAGGAAGAACACCAGUGGCGAAGGCGGCUUACUGGACUGAAACUGACGCUGAGGCACGAAAGCGUGGGGAGCGAACAGGAUUAGAUACCCGAGUAGUC